rnacentral:rRNA from 1 species
GUGAUUGAGUAGAGUGGCCCUCGGGUGAGUGACACGUGGAUAAUCUACCUUCGAGACGGGGACAACCAUUCGAAAGGAUGGCUAAUACCGGAUAAAGUAUAUGGUUAUUAAGAUCAUGUAUGAAAGACAGCCUCUGCAUAUGCUGUUGCUUGGAGAUGAGUCCGCGGACCAUUAGCUAGUUGGUGGGGUAAAGGCCUACCAAGGCUCCGAUGGUUAGCUGGUCUGAGAGGAUGAUCAGCCACACUGGAACUGGAACACGGUCCAGACUCCUACGGGAGGCAGCAGUGAGGGAUUUUGCGCAAUGGGGGAAACCCUGACGCAGCAACGCCGCGUGAGUGAAGAAGGUCUUUGGGUCGUAAAGCUCUGUCAACAGGGAAGAAGUUAACAUAUAUAAAUAGUGUAUGUUAUUGACGGUACCUGUGAAGGAAGCACCGGCUAACUCCGUGCCAGCAGCCGCGGUAACACGGGGGGUGCAAGCGUUAUUCGGAAUUAUUGGGCGUAAAGGGCGCGUAGGCGGUCUUAUCAGUCAGAUGUGAAAGCCCGGGGCUCAACCCCGGAAGUGCAUUUGAAACAGUAAGACUUGAGUACGGGAGAGGAAAGCGGAAUUCCUGGUGUAGAGGUGAAAUUCGUAGAUAUCAGGAGGAACACCGAUGGCGAAGGCAGCUUUCUGGACCGAUACUGACGCUG